rnacentral:rRNA from 1 species
UCGCCAAGUGGAAACUCCUACUUGAUGGUCGCCGCCGACACGAGCUGUAGGAAGGAGAGACUGCUAACGCCUCCAGCGCCGUUGCUUCUGUUACCGCGGCCACGGCCUUCCUACUGGGCCUCCGUUCCAUAUGAGGGGAGAGAGCAUGCAGCUCACGAGGGGGAAAGAGAGAACUACGCCACCGCUGGUCCCCCGUUUAACCCGUCACAUUUCCAUGCCGCGCUCGAGCCACUGCCGUUACUGAAGAAGCCGCAGGGAGAGGUGCAGACCACCAAACGAGCGUACCUUGCCCCGUUUCUUUCUCCAUCUUCUGGUUCUUUCCUCUACCUUCUUUUCUCCCCUCGAACGUAUGACUUACCCUACUGCCUCAUCUUGAAGCGAGCUUACACCCUAGUUAAGCCUCUAGUAUGUACUCCUCUUCUUCUCCUCCUCGAGUUGCGACGUCGUCUCUUUAUUGUGAUCUCAUAGCGGAAUCUAGGUCGGAAAC